CUCGGCAACGGAUAUCUCGGCUCUCGCAUCGAUGAAGAACGUAGCGAAAUGCGAUACUUGGUGUGAAUUGCAGAAUCCCGUGAACCAUCGAGUCUUUGAACGCAAGUUGCGCCCGAAGCCAUUAGGCUGAGGGCACGUCUACCUGGGCGUCACGC
rnacentral:rRNA from 1 species